UUGCAUGUUGGACAUGUCUGCCCCUCCUUGCUUUGGGAGUAGAAAUGCAUCCGUAACAUGCUACAUGAAUAAAGGAUUUCUCAGGGCUGCCAACCUUUCAGUAGCGGUUGAGUGGUAGUAUAGUUCUCCUACAUUA
ensembl:snoRNA small nucleolar RNA U109